rnacentral:rRNA from 1 species
GAGACUGCCAGGGAUAACCUGGAGGAAGGUGGGGAUGACGUCAAAUCAUCAUGCCCCUUAUGCUUAGGGCUACACACGUGCUACAAUGGGUAGUACAGAGGGUUGCCAAGCCGUAAGGCGGAGCUAAUCCCUUAAAGCUACUCUCAGUUCGGAUUGUAGGCUGAAACUCGCCUACAUGAAGCUGGAGUUACUAGUAAUCGCAGAUCAGAAUGCUGCGGUGAAUGCGUUCCCGGGUCUUGUACACACCGCCCGUCACACCACGGGAGUUGGAGACGCCCGAAGCCGAUUAUCUAACCUUUUGGAAGAAGUCGUCGAAGGUGGAAUUAAUAACUGGGGUGAAGUCGUAACAAGGUAGCCGUAUCGGAAGGUGCGGCUGGAUCACCUCCUUUCUAAGGAGA